rnacentral:lncRNA from 1 species
CCAAAACAUUCUUUGAAAAUCUUCCAAAAGACGACUCUUCACCUCCUCAGACUUCGAGCUUCAGCUACCCAAACACGGCUUACUUGCCUCCAGCACAAAUACUAACACCCUUCACACUACAAUCAUGUAAAUAAGUUAGAAUGAACUGGUAGCCCAUUUAGCAGACCAACACCAUUGCAUCCCAACUAUUUAAAUAGUGAUAACAGUAAGCAAUGCACACUUAUUCAUAGAACAUCAAGAGAAAGCCCUCUAGAAAGCCUUUUAGUAUUCUAACAGUAUAAGAAGAAAAGCAGUUUACUACACAGUGCAUAAAUUAGAAGCCACUACACUUUAAGCAAAACAAUAAAGACAACAAAUCAUAGUUACAGAAGCUAGAGAGGUCUAUUCUUGAAAUCAAUGUUUCAUUGCUCAGGGUAAGCCAAUCCUGUAGGUUGAAACCUGUACCCUCAUCCAGAAGGGAGGACAAUGACAAGUAGGUGUCCCACUUCGUAAUGCCCUCACGCACACACACACCCCCAGUGUCCUUUGGGGUUUUCAAUAGGCAGUGGCCUUGUAAGAUACAACCCUCUCCUUAUGCCCUUCUUGCGAGAGAGUGUUACACUAUUGGGUGACCCAAUGCAUAGUGCGCAGAAAGAUCUGUGGGCCGCGACCCACCCAAAUAUUCAUAUUUACAUCCUGAGUCCCAUCCUAUCAUGGAGAGUUAAGGAAAGUUCGUAGCUUCCGACACCAUCAUUCACACAGUAGAUACCCAUUCACAUAUUACAUAUACAACCUAUUAUGUGCACACACAAUCACAUACGAACAUGUUACACUACCAGCAGCUGACGUGUUGUGCAAAUUCUCCUAUUGAAAGCCUAAAAAAAAAUCUCAUAUCACACUACCAGUGAGUUGCCCCAUUGCGUAGUGGUCAGUCUCACAAUGUAUAGCACAAUAUAGCAGUAUUACAGUGUGUCACAGUAUGACAAAAUCCAUCACUAAUGACUUACAAUAUCAAUAUCACAACAAUAUAUAACAGUGUCUGUUACCAAUGGGUGGCCCAUUGCGUAGGGGUCAAAAUCAUAGUAUCAAUGUCUCAUUAUGAUAAUAUCAGUAUCUCAACAUGACGGUAGCAAUAUUAAAUUAUAAUAGUGUCUUAAAGAUGGCAUCAUAGUGGUAGUAACAAUAUUCCAGUUUAAGCUCAUAGUUCAUAUUCAUGCACUUGUAGGCAAUGAUGUGCGCUCAAAAUUUGCAUCGCAACUUCUGGUUCAUUAAGAGUUUGAAGAUGGUCCCAAAAGGAAUUUUAUAUUAGACACACCUAUCCUUCACAUGGGGUGUUUCAAAGAUAAUUGGGUCUCAUUGGCAUUCUUAAAAACUCAAGAGGAUGAGGGUUUAUUCGCGGUACCCUGCUGUGUACAUGGAACAACAAGAUACCCUACUUCGCAUCACACUAUAACUCUUAAACCGUGAAGAAUUUGAGACAAUUUCAAAUAUCAAAGUUCAAUCCAUGACAUAUAUAUUUCUAACAUGGCCAACUUGAAAGCACUUGGACUCCAUUUGGUUAUUCAAAAUUCCUUGCCAACAAUGUGAUAGUUCUGGUUUUUCUCAAAACUGUCCAUAGUGACAUCUCUUCAUAAAAAGACACAUAACUUCCACUCUAAGAGAAAUUUCAAAAUCAUUUCAGCAUGCAAUGUUUAGCCUACUAAACGAUAUUUCAAAUGGUGGUAGUUUUACCGGAAAUGGACUUUGUUUUGUUAGUUAAAACCAAUGGAAACACAGUGACAGUGAAAAAUCAAGGAAAAUAGUCAAUAGUGACAUGCACAUACAUUUUGGAAUAUAGCUUCAUUUUUGUAAUGAAUUUCAACAAUGGGAAAACACGAAUAUUUUACUAUACUCACAUAUAUUUUUAAUGGCAGUGAUUUGAGGUCAAUCGGAGCUCAUUGGCCUGUUCAAAAGCCUCUUUCAAGAACAUACAUGGUCUUGGAAUUUCACAGUAGGAUAUAACAUGCUUCACAAACAUGAUCCAUGACCUUCAAAUUUUAGGGAAAACAUCCUAAUAACUUCCUACAAAAUUGGUGAACUAAAUAUUCAUUUUUGGCUCCACAUUCAUCAUAAAAAAAAAAUGAUAAAAUUCAGUGAACAAGGGAUAAGAGAUUACCACACUACAUGCACUUUCACUACUCAUCUCAUAGACAUAUACUAUAUGCAUCCUUAUGACCACAAUGAAAUGCUGAUAGAUCCACUAACAUGAACAGUAGUUGUGCCUUCUCAAAAACUCUUCUUUCACAGCUCACACUCACUCCAACAAUGGCUGCUCACCAAGUCUUCCCCAAACCUUUGCCUUAGACAGGGAGAGAGAGAGAGA